rnacentral:ncRNA from 2 species
CCAGACUCCUACGGGAGGCAGCAGUGGGG